GGUUAAGCGACUAAGCGUACACGGUGGAUGCCCUGGCAGUCAGAGGCGAUGAAGGACGUGCUAAUCUGCGAAAAGCGUCGGUAAGGUGAUAUGAACCGUUAUAGCCGGCGAUGUCCGAAUGGGGAAACCCAGUGCAAUUCGUUGCACUAUCGUUAACUGAAUACAUAGGUUAACGAGGCGAACCGGGGGAACUGAAACAUCUAAGUACCCCGAGGAAAAGAAAUCAACCGAGAUUCCCCCAGUAGCGGCGAGCGAACGGGGAGCAGCCCGGAGUCUGAAUCAGCUUGUGUGUUAGUGGAAGCGUCUGGAAAGUCGCAGGGUACAGGGUGAUACUCCCGUACACUAAAACACACAGGUUGUGAACUCGAAGAGUAGGGCGGGACACGUGGUAUCCUGUCUGAAUAUGGGGGGACCAUCCUCCAAGGCUAAAUACUCCUGACUGACCGAUAGUGAACCAGUACCGUGAGGGAAAGGCGAAAAGAACCCCGGCGAGGGGAGUGAAAAAGAACCUGAAACCGUGUACGUACAAGCAGUAGGAGCCCACU
rnacentral:rRNA from 1 species